rnacentral:rRNA from 1 species
AGUGAACGCUGGCGGCAGGCCUAACACAUGCAAGUCGAACGGCAGCACAGGAGAGCUUGCUCUCUGGGUGGCGAGUGGCGGACGGGUGAGGAAUACAUCGGAAUCUGCCCAGUCGUGGGG